UACGUAGGUGACAAGCGUUGUCCGGAUUUACUGGGCGUAAAGAGCGCGCAGGCGGUCGUUCAAGUCGAGUGUGAAAGCCCCCGGCUCAACUGGGGAGGGUCACUCGAUACUGCUCGACUCGAAGGCAGGAGAGGGAAGUGGAAUUCCCGGUGUAGUGGUGAAAUGCGUAGAUAUCGGGAGGAACACCAGUGGCGAAGGCGACUUCCUGGCCUGUAAUUGACGCUGAGGCGCGAAAGCUAGGGGAGCAAACGGG
rnacentral:rRNA from 1 species